rnacentral:rRNA from 1 species
UACGUAGGGGGCUAGCGUUAUCCGGAAUUACUGGGCGUAAAGGGUGCGUAGGUGGUUUCUUAAGUCAGAGGUGAAAGGCUACGGCUCAACCGUAGUAAGCCUUUGAAACUGGGAAACUUGAGUGCAGGAGAGGAGAGUGGAAUUCCUAGUGUAGCGGUGAAAUGCGCAGAUAUCGGGAAGAACACCCGUGGCGAAGGCGGCUCUCUGGGACGGUACUGACGCUGAGACGCGAAAGCGUGGGGAGCGAACCGG